CGUGCAGGAUGACGGCCCUAUGGGUUGUAAACUGCUUUUAUACGGGAAGAAAUGCGCCCACGUGUGGGCGUCUGACGGUACCGUAAGAAUAAGGACCGGCUAACUCCGUGCCAGCAGCCGCGGUAAUACGGAGGGUCCGAGCGUUAUCCGGAAUCAUUGGGUUUAAAGGGUCCGUAGGCGGGCCUGUAAGUCAGGGGUGAAAGUUUGUGGCUCAACCAUAAAAUUGCCUUUGAUACUGCAGGUCUUGAGUCAUGGUGGGGUCGCCGGAACAUGUGGUGUAGCGGUGAAAUGCAUAGAUAUCACAUAGAACACCGAUCGCGAAGGCAGGUGGCCAACCAUGUACUGACGCUGAUGGACGAAAGCGUGGGUAGCGAACGGGAUUAGAUACCCCGGUAGUCCACGCCGUAAACGAUGGAUACUAGCUGUGGGGACUUCGGUCUCCGUGGCCAAGCGAAAGUGAUAAGUAUCCCACCUGGGGAGUACGUUCGCAAGAAUGAA
rnacentral:rRNA from 1 species